CCAAACUUGGUCAUUUAGAGGAAGUAAAAGUCGUAACAAGGUCUCCGUUGGUGAACCAGCGGAGGGAUCAUUACCGAGUUUACAACUCCCAAACCCCAUGUGAACCUUAUACCACACGUUGCUUCGGCGGGAACGCCCCGGCUCCUCGAGCCCGGACCAGGCGCCCGCCGGGGACCCCCAAACCCAUUGUUUCCUACAGUAUUCUCUGAGUGGCAAACGCAAAAUAAAUCAAAACUUUUAACAACGGAUCUCUUGGCUCUGGCAUCGAUGAAGAACGCAGC
rnacentral:misc_RNA from 1 species